AGUGAACGCUGGCGGCAGGCCUAAUACAUGCAAGUCGAACGGCAGCACAGCAGAGCUUGCUCUGUGGGUGGCGAGUGGCGGACGGGUGAGGAAUACAUGGGAAUCUGCCCAGUCGUGGGGGAUAACGUAUGGAAACGUACGCUAAUACCGCAUGCGCCCUAAGGGGGAAAGCCGGGGACCGCAAGGCCUGGCGCGAUUGGAUGAGCCCAUGUUCGAUUAGCUAGUUGGCGGGGUAAAGGCCCACCAAGGCGACGAUCGAUAGCUGGUCUGAGAGGAUGAUCAGCCACACUGGAACUGAGACACGGUCCAGACUCCUACGGGAGGCAGCAGUAGGGAAUAUUGGACAAUGGGGGCAACCCUGAUCCAGCAAUGCCGCGUGAGUGAAGAAGG
rnacentral:rRNA from 1 species